GGGGUCGUAGUCUAGAUUGGUUAAGAUUCUUGCUUGGGGUGCAAGAGAUCGUGAGUUCAAAUCUCACCGACCCCACCA
rnacentral:tRNA from 1 species